UUCUACAGCUAUCUCUGCAUUUAAAAGCUUGGUCCACUCAUCUCUUCCCUGAGAUAUUUCUGGCUUAGUCUUUGAGCAUCUUUCUAUUAUAAUACUCUUCUGCUCCCACUGCAGUAUCAUCUUAAUGAAGACUUUCAUGCUAACAUCCAGAUUGUAUUUUGUCUUUGACAGUAAUGAUGCCGUGACUCUGAUGGAGUAUUGACUACCCCUCGAACCCUGGUAUUUUUUUCACUCAAUGCUGUUUUGUUAGACUCUGUCUUUUCCUGGCUGGGACAUCGGGAUCAAUAAUGGGAUCCCACUCUUAAGAUGCCUGACCUAACCGACACUGAAAUGACUGGCCUUUGAGAACAACCAAAACAAAUGUUUCCACCAAUUCUCUAGGGACAUCACUGAGAAAAUGCUGACUCUGAGGACCAUUGCACUCAGCCAUCCUGUGUUUGAAAUAUUUCUUAUCCCUGUUUUAUUCAAGGACAGUUUCUCUGAGCCUGCCUUGAACAAGAAGAGGGACUAGCAAAGCUGAUUACACAUCAGUAGGUUGCUUUGCUGAGGAGCACUAGGCCCUCAACUCCAGGCAAACUUCCUGCACUUAAGCUUGUUUUCUCCAUAUCAGUUGCAGAAUCCUAACCCCAUGAACUUAAUCACAUAUCAACUUUGCUGCGUCAACUUUUCUCUAGUACAUUAUGUGAUGAAGUUAAGUCUAAGGGCUCCUCCCACACACCAGCUUCAGCAUUGCAUCUCUCUUCUACUUUCCAUGGGCACCUAUCAAUCUACUGCAGGCCUCUGCCUAUAAAAGCUUGGCUUACACACAUCUUGCCUGAAAUUUCUCUGGCUUAGGCUUUGAGUAUCUCCUUGUUGCAAAGCUUUUGCUUAAUAUUGUCUUUCUUUACUCAAGUAUAGAUUUACAUUGUUUUCCUUGUCAACCCAAAAGAUAUCAUUUAGGAUUUGAUUUUUGGGAGGUGAAGCAUAAAAAGUUGUCCAGAAGUUUGAAUAGUAGACUCUGUCGGAUCAUGGAUUACUUAGAAACUCUAUUUAUCUAUUUACCCCAAAUAAUAAUACAAAUUUUUAAAAGUAGACAUAGGCCAUACCAUGAUUAUGAAGAACUUCAGCUCUUUAAGUAAAAAACCUUGUCUCAUUAAUUAUCAAGGAUGUGAUAAAGUCAACACAAAAUCUAGGAAAGUACUCUGAGAAGACCCCUACUAGCUGUAUUCUAAGUAGAUUACUGAAAAUGUAAAGAAAUAUAAUUUAAGAAAAAAAUUGUCAUUUUUAAGAAAGAAAAUCCAAUUUUAGUUUUUAAACUAAAGCUAUUAUUUAAAAUCUUAUACAUAAACUCAUCAAACUUAACACAGGCUUGAAUAUAAGAAAUCAAACUUCCUUUCCAUGAAUCAGCUACAACUUUCUCCGUCCAGGCUUUUUUUUCUUUUUUUUUUUUUUAAAUAUACUGUUCUCUCAUCUAGAACACCUAGUCAUUUUAAUUCAGAAUAAAAUUAUUAUACUCUCAUCAUCUUUCACAAAAGACAUUCUGCCCACUUGGCAUGGGAAGUUUUCUUUCUCUGCUACUACUGCUCCUAUUCACAUAUGUUUGUAAUAAUUUUAUAACUACAGUCACUUCAAUUGCACAGAGAAAACCACUAGGCAGUGCAAGAAAAAAGUUAUGCACUGGAUACUUGUUGAAAUAGCAAAACAGAUCUUAUUAGACCUCCUGCACUAAGGAGAGGAGACUUUAGUCCAGAACUGAGCUCAAUUUCCAAUUCGGCAAAGAUGGCAGGACAUGCAGAGCCAAGGGACGGAGUGAGGAAGCAGUAGAUAGAAAAUUACCAAGAGGAACUUGAUUAGAUAACAAGGGCAGGGGAAUUCUUUCUAAACUGGCUUAACAGAAUUUUUACAGGCCAUGGUCUUAGACAUUCAAGGCCGGGGAUGGGAUGAGGGGUUUGAUCAGAUAUUGGGGGGUUGGGGAGGGAACGCUUCUUAAGAUUCUUUGCUAAAAAUGGAUUUAGUAGCCCAAGGUAGAGGUCUAGUCUACAAGAAGACUCAUAAGAGCCUGACUAAAGUUUGGUCAAGGGGGGAAAUCUCUGUAGAUAAUUUUAAACUAUCUUCAUACAUCAGUAUUUUCUAGUAGACUAGUAGAGCUUAUAAAUAUAUUUAUCAUAGCUUUCUAUAGCUAUAAAUAACUUCUUAAUGUGGCCAAAAUAACAUGUGCCUUAACUGACCCAAAUAUAUAACCUCUCUAUAGUACAUAAAAGUCAGAGCAAAAAGUAUGAAAAAAAAUUAUAUUUU